GAGAAAAAAAAAUCUGGUCUCAAAAUUCUGGAACAAUACAGAGAAUUCUAACAUGGCCCCUGUGCAAGGAUGGUGUGCAAAUUUGUGAAACGGUCCAUAUUUUU
ensembl:snRNA U6 U6 spliceosomal RNA